AAGCAAGGCAUCCCGUCCGCUCUGCCCUAUUUAAGCCAUUGAUCGGCUGCGUAGUAGUUGAGUGGGUGACCAUCAGCGAAUUUCAGCUGCUGCAUGUA
rnacentral:rRNA from 1 species